AAGUCGUAACAAGGUUUCCGUAGGUGAACCUGCGGAAGGAUCAUUAAUGAAAUUAUGACUGGGGUUGUAGCUGGCCUAUAAAACGGCAUGUGCACGCUCCUUUCACAAUCCACACACACCUGUGCACCUUUGCGGGGGUCUUUUUUUCUCUUCGGGGGAAUAAAGACUCGCGUCCCUUUACACACCCUUUGUAUGUCUUAAGAAUGUCUACUCGAUGUAAUAAAACGCAUCUAAUACAACUUUCAACAACGGAUCUCUUGGCUCUC
rnacentral:misc_RNA from 1 species